GUCUGAAGGAGGCUGGAAAUCAAAUCAUCAAACAUCAGGCUUCUGCUCCAGAAAGCGUUCCUGGGUUCGACUCCUGGCCGGCCAAAUCGAGACCGAAGCAUCUCUGGGCAAGAUGCUGAACCCCCAGCCCUCCGGCAGACCCCGGAGCCACCAAAACAGAAAGCAGAUGAUAGCACACACACACGGGUGGCAACAGCGGCAACGGUGGAGGCGCUACAAAAUACUGAACCUAGCUGCUGUGGACCCGCCACCAGAUGGAUGAGCCACACAGGCGACGUGCAGAACCGCCGUGUUGACAUGUUCAGGAGCAGAAUGAGCCCAGUUGGAAAUGAAGGUGUGCAUUAGUCUGGGAGUACUCCACCUGCAGAGACCUACCAGCAGAGGGCGUUAGAUAACAUGCUUCAUUACUGCUGCUGCAGAAGAGGCUGGUUCACUUAAAGGCCCCAUGUGUGAAAUCCAUUGAAAUCAUGAUGAAAUAAUGUGACUCUUUAGCACCACGCAGUUCACAGAAGGUAUUGCAGCUGCGGUGGCCCACUCCUGAGUUUGACUGUAUAAUCAAUUUCCAACCCGUCAGUGGCGGCUGGUGAAAAAUAUUUUUGGUGGGGCUGUGCAAUUUUUUUAAACAAACUUGUGCUUUCUGAGCUUUGUGCACAACUUCACUAUUUCCUGAAUUAAGCACAGCUCUUUUAUUUCCUGUCUUACAUCAUUGGACAAACUGAUUAAUCCAGGAGUGUCUGACUAUUGGCACGCUGCCUUGCAGACCAAGGUUGAAAAAUACUGCAUUAAAUUGCACAUAAAAUAACAUGACCAUAAAUGGUAAAUAGGCAAUGCAAGAGGCAAGUAACAAAAACAUUUUGUUUAAUUUCAACAUUUGAGUGAACACGAAAAAUUAUGAGCAGGUCACUGUUACAGUAAUGGUAGUAAACACUACUUAGACAAAAUGCCAGAAAUUUACACUGUUAGGACUUAUGGAAAGUGGAAACACUUUCAUAGGAAAUAAUGUCAUCAGUAUCCUCUUACAAAUGUCAUAUUUCCCACUUUUUGGGACAAUAACACAUUUCUGGUUCUCAAUGAGAUGUUUUUACUUCAAAUGUGAAAACAUCUCAUUGAGAAUCAGAAAUGUUUUAUUGUCCCAAAAGCUGGGAAAUUUGUUUGCUGCAGCAGAAGUGUAACAAGUAAAAUGGAAUCAGAUUGAUGUAUGUACAAAUUUACUUGAAAUACACAUUUACAUGAUUAAAUAUGUAUAAUAGGUAUGUGUGUUGAAAUUAGUUUUUACAGUUAUUGCACAUUAAACAAUGUACAUGUUAUUAAACAAAUGUCCCGGUUUGUGGGUCAACCAAGGAUUUCAGAUUCUGAUUGUCUUGUUUACAGAAAUGUAAUGUACAGCUUACCUCUGCA